CAGCGGAGGGAUCAUUACAGAGUGUAAAAACUCCCAAACCCUUUGUGAACAUACCACUGUUGCCUCGGCGGAGCUGCCCGGUAGCUACCCUGUAGCUACCCUGCAGCCGCCGGCGGACCAUCAAACUCUGAUUAUAUAGAUAUCUGAGCGUACUUUUAAAUAAGUCAAAACUUUCAACAACGGAUCUCUUGGUUCUGGCAUCGAUGAAGAACGCAGCGAAAUGCGAUAAGUAAUGUGAAUUGCAGAAUUCAGUGAAUCAUCGAAUCUUUGAACGCACAUUGCGCCCAUUAGUACUCUAGUGGGCAUGCCUGUUCGAGCGUCAUUACGACCCUUAAGCCUAGCUUAGUAUUGGGAACCUACGUGCGGCAGCUACCCUGUAGCUACCCUGUAGCUCCUUAAAGACAACGGCGGAGACGUGGAGUCCUCUGAGCUUAGUAACUUUUCUAGCUUCUGAAGGCGCCGCGGCCCCUGCCGUAAAACCCCCAACUCUUUAGUGGUUGACCUCGGAUCAGGUAGGAAUACCCGCUGAACUUAAGCAUAUCAAUAAGCGGAGG
rnacentral:rRNA from 1 species